rnacentral:rRNA from 1 species
AACGAACGCUGGCGGCAUGCCUAACACAUGCAAGUCGAACGAGAUCUUCGGGUCUAGUGGCGCACGGGUGCGUAACGCGUGGGAAUCUGCCCUUUGGUUCGGAAUAACAGUUGGAAACGACUGCUAAUACCGGAUGAUGACGAAAGCCCAAAGAUUUAUCGCCAGAGGAUGAGCCCGCGUAGGAUUAGCUAGUUGGUGUGGUAAAGGCGCACCAAGGCGACGAUCCUUAGCUGGUCUGAGAGGAUGAGCAGCCACACUGGGACUGAGACACGGCCCAGACUCCUACGGGAGGCAGCAGUGGGGAAUAUUGGACAAUGGGCGAAAGCCUGAUCCAGCAAUGCCGCGUGAGUGAUGAAGGCCUUAGGGUUGUAAAGCUCUUUUACCCGGGAUGAUAAUGACAGUACCGGGAGAAUAAGCUCCGGCUAACUCCGUGCCAGCAGCCGCCGUAA